GACGAACGCUGGCGGCGUGCCUAAUACAUGCAAGUCGAACGCUUCUUUCCUCCCGAGUGCUUGCACUCAAUUGGAAAGAGGAGUGGCGGACGGGUGAGUAACACGUGGGUAACCUACCCAUCAGAGGGGGAUAACACUUGGAAACAGGUGCUAAUACCGCAUAACAGUUUAUGCCGCAUGGCAUAAGAGUGAAAGGCGCUUUCGGGUGUCGCUGAUGGAUGGACCCGCGGUGCAUUAGCUAGUUGGUGAGGUAACGGCUCACCAAGGCCACGAUGCAUAGCCCACCUGAAGAAGGGAUCGGCCGAACUGUGUCUAAGACAGGGCGCGGACUCCUACGGGAGGUAGCAGAGGGGAUUCGUCGGCAAGGGUCGGAAGUCUGACCGAGCAACGCCGCGUGAGUGAAGAAGGUUUACGGAUCGUGAAACUCUGUUGUUAGAUAAGAACAAGGACGUGAGGUACUGAACGUCCCCUGACGGUAUCUAACCAGAAAGCCACGGCUAACUACGUG
rnacentral:rRNA from 1 species